rnacentral:lncRNA from 1 species
GAAAGGCUCUCUGGUAUAGUGGUUGCGAGAUAUCUCGCCAGCCAGGGAGCUGACUUUCACCAUAAAAACAACAAAAAUAACACACCAUUGGACCUCAUUAAGGACCCAAAUUUGAGAAAAAAAUUAGAAGCAUUUUUACCACCACCGUAAGUAUCUCCUAGCAAUGAAAAAAGAUAAACCUGUACAUUUUCUAUUUUGUAUAUAAUCAUCAUCAUCACCAUUUAGUGUCCGCUUUCCAUGCUAGCAUGGGUUAAACGGUUCAACUGGCGAGGCUGGCAACGGACACGAACGGAUGGUGCUUUUUACGUGCCACCGGCACGAGGCCAGUUGGGGCGGCGCUGGCAACGGUCACGAACGGAUGGUUCUCUUACGUGACACCGGCACUGGUAACUCAGCUGCAAUUUCCAUUGAUCGAUUUCGAUUCUGAUCCUCACUUGCCUCAACAGGUCUUCACAAGUAGAGUUUUGUGUUCCAAGAAGGGAAGGUAUGCAUACGUAGGCUGGCUCCGUCCCAUGUAGAAGGCCACGGGUUGUGGUCUCACUUUCCUGCUGGGUCUUCUCGCGCACAGCACACUUCCAGAGGUCUCGGUCUCUAGUCAUUUCCUCAGUGAGACCUAAAGUUGGAAGGUCGUGCUUCACCACUUCGUCCCAGGUUUUCCUGGGUCUGCCUCUUCCACAGGUUCCCUCAACCGCUAGGGUGUGGCACUUUUUCACACAACUAUCUUCAUCCAUUCUCGCCACAUGCCCAUACCAGCGCAAACGUCUCUCUUGCACACCACAACUGAUGCUUCUUAGGUCCAACUUUUCUCUCAAGGUACUUACACUCUGUCAAGUAUGAACACUGACAUUACACAUCCAUCGGAGCAUACUGGCUUCAUUUCUUGCGAGCUUACGCAUAUCCUCAGCAGUCACGGCCCAUGUUUCACUGCCAUGUAGCAUGGCUGUUCGUACACACGCAUCAUACAGUCUGCCUUUUACUCUGUGCGAGAGGCCUUUUGUCACCAGCAGAGGUAAGAGCUCUCUGAACUUUGCCCAAGCUAUUCUUACUCUAGCAGUUACACUUUCAGCACACCCGCCCCCGCUGCUGACUUGGUCACCUAGGUAACGGAAGCUAUCAACUAUUUCUAGUUUUUCUCCCUGGAAAGUGACGGAAGUUGGUCUCAGAGCAUUUUCAGUGUUUAUUGUUCCUGAGCAUCUGCCACAUACAAAAACUAUCUUCCUAGUUAGCCUUCCUUUGACAUUGCUGCACCUCUUAUGUGUCCAUAGCUUACACUUGGUGCAUCUUAUAGAGUUUCUACCUACACCUUUUCUACAGAUCGAGCAGGGCCAUCUACCUGAAGGCGUUUGUGAUUUGUCUACCUUCCUACUGAUUACGACUUUGGUUUUAGCUAGAUUGACUCUAAGGCCCUUCGAUUCUAAUCCUUGUUUCCACACCUGGAACUUCUCCUCCAGUUCUGAUAGUGACUCAGCAAUUAGAGCAAGGUCAUCAGCAUAGAGGAGCUCCCAGGGGCAUCCUGUCUUGAAUUCCUCCGUUAUUGCCUAGAGGACUAUGAUAAAUAGGAGGGGGGAUGAGGACUGAGCCUUGGUGGACCCCUACCUCUACCCGGAAUUCUUCACUGUACUCGUUGCCAACCCCCACCUUAUUAGCAGCGUCCCUGUACAUGGCUCGCACAGCUCUCACUAACCAUUCAUCUAUCUCUAGUUUCCUCAUUGACCACCAGAUAAGGGAUCGGGGGACCCUGCAAAAGGCUUUCUCCAUGUCAACAAAAGCCAGGUACAGGGGCUUAUCUUUGGCUAGGUAUUUCUCCUGGAGCUGCCUUACCAGGAAUAUAGCAUCAGUGAUACUUUUCCCUGGCACGAACCCAAACUGCAUCUCAUCUAAACUAACUCUCUCUCUAAUUAGUUGGCUUAUGACCCUCUCUGUAACCUUCAUCACCUGAUCCAACAGCUUGAUACCUCUGUAAUUAUUUGUAUCUAGGGCAUCACCUUUACCUUUGUAGCAGUUAACUAUUAUGCUGCUACACCAGUCAUUGGGUAUGACUCCUCUGUGUAUCACCUGAUUAACUAUACGGGUGACUAGGCUAUAGCCAACACUACCAGACAUUUUGAGCAUCUCUGCAGUGAUUCCUGAUGGGCCUGGGGCUUUCCCUGUCUUCAUGCUUCUAAUUGCCUUAACUGCCAAGGAACUAUCAACUCGGAUAGCUGGUCCCUCUGUUGGGUCAACAUUCGGCAGACUCUCUUUAUCCCAUUCAUUUUCUUUAUCAUGUUUAUAUGUUUAUUUCGUUUUAAUUCUACCAAUACAUUAUACUGUCGCUAGUGUUUUUGUCAAAGGCCACACAAUAAACAAUAUGCAGUUGUCAGGAGAUCAAAGAAAGAACACGAUUUUGAUUACAUUCACAUGAUUCGUAGUGUUGCCAGUUAUACUUCACUGUCCAUCACCACCUACCCCUCUUCGUUCCCUAUUUUAAAGAUUUGUGAUCAAUACGAAUAUAUAUAUCUAAAUAAUGAAGUGAAUGAAUUCCAUUUUGAAACUGUUACUUAGAAUUAAGUGGAGUUUAUCUGUCUACCAACAUCUUUUUCUCACUCUUCUAUGUCCGAAUCAGUCAAUAUUACGAAUGAUUUCGUAGAAAAAUAACCUACAAACACACACCAACAGUGUAUAUAUUAUAUUUCUGCAAAUACUGAUGGAACAUCGCCACAUAUCUUCAUAGAAAAAAAAACUGCCAGGAAACGUAAAUAAUUCAAAUAACACAUAUACGAGGGACGUUCAAUAAGUAGUGCCUCUUACCCACUUGCAGUUGGUUGAUCUAGCUGAAAUUUUGGCUGUGCAAUUAUUUAUAUCUCUAUAGAUUAAGUGGCAAAUUACAGCUCUGAAAUAAUUGUGGUUUCUGAUUUACAGGUGUUUGAACUGAGUCAAGUGUGAAAUGGAGCCGGUUGAGUGUCGAGCAGUGAUCCGGUUUUUGUAUUUGAAAGGACGCACACCACGGGAGACAUUUGAUGAAAUGAAAGUAACUUAUGGUGAUGAUGCACCAUCAUAUGACCUUGUAAAACCCUGGCAUCGUGAAUUCUAACAUGGUCGGAACUCUGUGGAAACAGCUCCCAGAUCUGGUCGCCCCCCUUCUGUCAUUGAUGAGGCAUCUGUCCGUCAAGUUGAGGCUGCCAUUUUGGAAGAUCGACGCAUAACAAUUCGCCAAAUAGCCCAUCAGGUCAAGAUUAGUACCGGGUCUGUGGAAACUAUCAUUCAUGACCAUUUGCAUAUGAAAAAGGUGUCUGCCAGGUGGAUUCCCAGGUUGCUCACACCUUUCCAGAAGCAAGAACGCGUCGAGUGCUCGAGGAUGAAUUUGGAGAUGUGCCAAGAAGAUGAGUCAAAAUUUUUCAAAAGACUGAUUACACAGGAUGAAACCUGGGUCCAUCACUAUGAUCCAGAGAACAAAGCCCAGUCAAUGCAGUGGAAGCACCGUGACUCACCUCCUCCAAAGAAGGCAAGGGUGCAGCCCUUCGCUGGCAAGGACAUGUUCACAGUCUUCUGGGACCAGGACGGAGUUGUGAUGACAGAUUUCCCGGCAAAGGGUACCACAAUUACAGGAGCCUAUUAUGCUUCACUUUUGAGGAAAUUAAGAGAAGCUAUCAAAAUCAAGAGGCGGGUCAAGAUCAGAAAAGACAUCCUCCUCCUGCAGGACAACGCUCCGGUCCACAACUCGCGUGUCGCAAGAUUAGAAGCACAGGCGUGCAGCUAUGAACUUCUCCCCUUGCACCCUCUGAUUUUCACCUCUUCUCAGCCAUGAUGUUGUUUCUGAAAGGAAAGCGUUUCCUAGAUGAUGCAGCCUUGAUUUCUGAAGUCACGUCGUGGUUGGAGGACCAAGCUGGGGUCUUCUACAAAAACGGUUUUCAGAGCUGCAUCAAACAAUGGGAGAAAUGCGUAACUCUGGGUGAUUCCUAUGUAGAAAAAUACUAAUAACUGUGCUAAGUUUCGUUGCUCUACUGCAAUGGGAAGUGAGUCAGGGGCAUUACUUAUUGAACGCUCCUCGUAUCAUUACUAGGUGUUUUAGUCGCCUUUCACUCCCGUAUUUUAUAAGAUUUGGCAAUUUCUUUGCCAUACAUCUCUCUGUAUUUGCUACUUAAGAAGCAGACACAUUUCCCCCUCAGCGAAUAUACAAAACUUUCUUUGUCUGUUGAAAUUCAGAUAUUGUUUAUAGAUAUUGAUUUUUGGACUGUAUAAAUAUUGUUUUGCUUUAUUCAAUUGAUGAGCUUCAGAAGAUUUUAUUUGCUUUUACAAAUAAUCGUUUAUGUGAAUGUUAUUAUUAUUAUUAUUAUUAUUAUUAUUAUUAUUAUUAUUAUUAUUAUUAUUAUUAUUAUUAUUAUUAUUAUUAUUAUUAUUAUUAUUAUUAUUAUUAAUAACAACAACAACAAUAAUAAUAAUAAUAAUAAUAAUAAUAAUAAUAAAAAUAAUAAUAAUAAUAAUAAUAAUAAUAAUAAUAAUAAUAAUAAUAAUAAUAGUAAUAAUAAUAAGAAGAAGAAGUCUACAGAGCGCAGCUGAUAUUAUUGGAAAGGGGCAAAAUAAGGGACAGAAAACUAGAACUACAUGCACGAUACAUAUAAUAAAGCCUCCCAAAAUCAUGGUGGAAAAUAUCUCAUCAGCACUGCCCAAAUGAUGUUGGCAUCAGCUUUAAGAUAUACCCAAGGCCUGGGCCCCGUAUUAUCUGCCCACAACAUAAAUCAAACUCGCAUCACAUAACAACAAUACGGCAAAAUUAUUUCACCUCAAGUGGCCCCGCUCCAUUUAGCAUUACACCAAAAUACAUUAAAGCAGAAAAAGACCCCCAUAAAGUUCAAGAAGUAUUUGGAAAAAUCCUUCAAGAAAUCCCGGAUAAAACUCCAACACCAAGAUAUGUCCCCGUAAACAGCAACUCUCUCCUCGAGUGGGUCAUGUUGUCCGCAUCCUGAUUCGCCCGGUAGUGGGAUUACGUUAAACAUGGCCUGCACUAAUACUGGCCGAAAACUAUCAUGCAUACACACAUAUAUAUAUAUAUAUAUAUGUGAUAGAUAUAUCAUCAUCAUCAUUAUCAUCAUCGUUUAACAUCCGUUUUCCGUGCUAGCACGGGUUGGACGAAAAUAUAUAUAAGUAAUAUUCGUAGGCACGCUAACAUGAGUAUCUGUAACUAAUUAACGACGCAGAAGUGCAUCCGAUUAAUUGCGAGCAGGGGAUCGAACCCCUACCAUCUUAUAGCAACAGGACUAGCAGACCAGGUCUGGUUUCGGGCUAUUCCUGCCACUCUUCAGUACUGGACACCUCAUCUGCUAAUCUGUGGAGACAGGAUGUAUAUAAUAAAGUAUGUGUCUAUAAAGAAACCUGUGUAGAUAUAUUUGUUCAGAAGAAUUGAGUUCGAUGUUAGAAGUGAAAUAUAUUUCUGGAAUAUAUGCAGUUCACUGUGUGUCAACCAAUUUCUAUGAUGUGUCAGGGUCAAGACAAACAUUUAUCAAUGUAUGUAUACAUGUGUGUGUAUGUAUGUAUGUGUGUUUGUGAGCAUGCCAUUUAACUACACACAAUUCUGUAUGUAUGUAAUUGUUUAAAGAAGAAUUUCUGAUAUACUCUUGCUUGUCACUGGAGUGUCUCAUAAUAUUCCCUACUCCAAACAUGUACAUGAUGUAAUAUUUCUAAUAUUUCUUAUACAUGAAUGUUAUUGGUUUGAUAUGUUUCUAUUUUGUUCCACAGAUGUUUGUGGUGCAAAAAUAAAACGGCCACAAUAAAAUUUCUUCCAUGCGGGCAUUUUGUCACAUGUGAAACAUGUUCGAAAAUCUCACUUAAACGAUGUCUGAAGUGCGGGAAACCUGUAACGAGCAGAACUGGAGAUGGUAAGAAAAUCUUUGCUGAUCUGUCUGUUUGUCCUGCUUGUCCCAUUGCCCUUAUUGUGUAGAAUAAUAUACUUCAUGUUGUUAUGUAGACAGAGGUCUGCCAUAAUCUGGCAGAUUUAUGAUAAAAGGUGUUCCUAGUGUCUGUUCUCUGUAAUAGCAUAUCUCUCACACACUGCAUCCACUAAACAUUGACCUUAUCCAAGUAGGAAACAUGUCACACUUCAAGAGGGUUGUAGUCUGCAACAUAAAGAUAAUGGACGAUUCUGCAAGAUAAUUAGUGAGUAACUGAAGUAUCAAUAAAUCUCCAUCAACACUAUAAUUAAUUAUGAGUUAUUAGAAGAUAAUUAAAUACAACAGUACUUACAAGGACAUCAGUGUCAUCUUUGGUAAAGUAUUAAAUUCAGUAGAAUAUUUUAAAGGAGUAAAAUUAUAUGUCACUAGUUUGAGAGACUUUAACACACAAUUCCAUGUUGUUAUGUUUGUAAUUGGAGGAUAUUAAGGCUAAUAGAGACAGUUUUGUUUGUCAAGCAACCAGAUCAUGAAACCUUCAAAUAUAUCCUGAAUGAGAUGACAUUCUGGUGAACUGUGAAGUUAAAAUUAGGGAUUAUCAGCAACAAUGUUUAACAAAGAGAUUAGGUGUAUGUUUCUCCUUCUUGAAGUGGUUGUGACAUGUGUUUGUUGUUAUAUCUUUGAUGAAUAAAUUUGUUGACACUGGAAUCAAACAGGUUGUUAGUGAAGAUCAGGGUUUUGAAAAUGCAAUAGAUUUGGCAUAGAUAUAAGCAAGGAAACCAAAACCUACAGAUUAACUGUUAUUAGGUGAUAAUUAAGUGAUAUAAUUACAACAUUGUUAGAUUAUUUAGGAUAUCUUAACAGAGAGAGGAAAUUUACAAAGACCAACUAGAGUUCGUUUUGGAGCUAAAUAUUGGCUAUUACAUGGGUCCACUGUUGAAAGUAUAAAAAUAUUGACCAAAAGCAUUAUGAUCGCUCGUUGGCCAUUGAUGGUAUGAAUGUUUCUCAUUAAUAAAAUAUAGAUUAUUAAUAAAUAUAAAGGGAUUGUGCUAUAAAUAAAUAUAAAACUUGGAGAUACAUAUUUCAGAGAGUCCAAAGUUUGAAGAGAAGGGAGUGCAGACUGUGGCAGAGACAGUUGAUGAGUUUAAAAUUAGAGAUCUUAAUUAAUUUCUAUAGAUUUUACAUUCACCUCAGCUAUUUUGCGUAUUAGAAUGGUGGAGAACAAAUCCCAUCUCUAAUUUCCAUUUGAAAGGUUAGCUCUAAAGUAAUUGUAUUAAAAAUAUUACUGAAAUUUCAUAAAGUCACGGUUAACAUGUUUGGUUAAUAGGAUAAAUUAAAAGCCACAAUAGAGUUACUAUUGUCUUCUAUGGAACUAUAAUGUAUUUUUUUUAGGUGUAAACUUGUGAGUUAAUAAGAUAGUUGUUUGUUUUUCUACUAAGAUCUUUCGUAAGUUUUCUGAUAGGUUAUUCUUGAUGUUGUUAUGUAGCCAGAUGUCUGUCGUAAUAUGUUGUAUUUUCUGGGGUUGUGUACCCUGAAUGUCUCUGGUUAGAAUACAUUUUGAAGUUGCAAAUUAGAAAAUUAUAAUUAAAUGUUAACUCUGUAUAAGAAUAUUCAUCAUGAACUUAAUUUUAUUACAUGUUAAAUUUAGUAUUGAACCGUGAAUAUAUGUUUAUAUUUAAACAAAUUAUUGGUGUUUAUACAAAAUAUACAAUCAGAAAUUGAAUUUGACUUGAAUACACAAAUCCUUCUUUGUAGCUAUAUAUAAUAUACACUUAUUACAUUGUUUGAACAACAUUUACCAUCCAUAUAGUCAUUCUUUUUCUCACUCUUGUUAGAUUUUAGAUGAUAUUAAUGCUAAAAGAGGCACAGUUUUCUGAGUGUUUCACCCUUUGGUCUUGAUUGUUGCGUUCAAAUUAUUUAAUGAAAGUUAGUCAUUGUUCUUUGAACAGGAAAUGAAUUAAUGAUUAGUAUUUGGCAGUGGAAUUGGUUAUAUCUUUCUUCGUUUGCUCAUGGAACUACCAUAAUAUUAGCUGUGCUGAGACACAAUCAUAUUCAUUGUAAUGAAGGCUAUAUGUUCUUUACUCAGAUUAUAUACAAUCUAUAUUGAUAUCUAGUAUUGCACUGUCAAGCACAGUGCCAUUGUAUCACAUAUAUACCCAAUUAUCAUGAUAAUUAAUAAGCUAUAAUUCAUUAACACUCUUACAUUUGUAUUUAUGAAAUGUAGUUUAUUUUGUCAUAAGAACAUCGUGUACCCUCACCUUACAUUUUAUAUCUUGUUAGGGAUUAUGUUGGGGAAGGGUGUAUGGAAUUUGGCUUGUGCAGAUGUAUUUUAGGGGACAGAUUGUGUGCAGAGUGGAGGGUAUUCACAUAAAGGACAUAUUUAUGACCUCAGUUUUACUUAAUUAGAGAGGAAUGUUGAUUAGUGAAUUCUAGAGAUGAGAGGACUGUGCCAUGCCAUAGAUUUGGCACAGUUAUAAGAAGAGAAAGACAAAGCUAAGAGAAAACUGUUAUCAAGUGUUAAUUAAAUGAGAUAAUUGGUACAUUGUUAGAAUAUUUAAUGUGUUUUUAGAGAGAGAGAGUAGAGAGAGAGAGAGAGAGAGAGAGAGAGAGAGAGAGAGAGAAAGAUAGGGAGAGGGCGGAUUUAGAAAUGUUAGUCUGUUUUAUUGUGGACAUAUUGGGCUAUUACAUGGAACCACUUUAGAAAGUACAGAAAUAUUGACCAAAACCAUAAUGGUCAAAGGUUGACCAGUAACGACAGGAAUUGAAUGUCUCACAAUAACAAGAUAGAUUUUGAUAAAAAUAAAGAUAAAGAAAUUCUACUAUUAAAUGUAAAACUGAUAAAUGUUUAUUUCAGCGUCUCCAAAGUUUGCAGACAAGGGAGUGCAAACAGAUUUACAAUUAUUAGAGCCUACAUCCGAGCAAAGUG